AUUGAACGCUGGCGGCAUGCCUAACACAUGCAAGUCGAACGGCAGCACAGAGGAGCUUGCUCCUUGGGUGGCGAGUGGCGGACGGGUGAGGAAUACAUCGGAAUCUACUCUGUCGUGGGGGAUAACGUAGGGAAACUUACGCUAAUACCGCAUACGACCUACGGGUGAAAGCAGGGGAUCUUCGGACCUUGCGCGAUUGAAUGAGCCGAUGUCGGAUUAGCUAGUUGGCGGGGUAAAGGCCCACCAAGGCGACGAUCCGUAGCUGGUCUGAGAGGAUGAUCAGCCACACUGGGACUGAGACACGGUCCAGACUCCUACGGGAGGCAGCAGUGGGGAAUAUUGGACAAUGGGCGCAAGCCUGAUCCAGCCAUACCGCGUGGGUGAAGAAGGCCUUCGGGUUGUAAAGCCCUUUUGUUGGGAAAGAAAUCCAUCUGGUUAAUACCCGGGUGGGAUGACGGUACCCAAAGAAUAAGCACCGGCUAACUUCGUGCCAGCAGCCGCAGUAA
rnacentral:rRNA from 1 species